rnacentral:rRNA from 1 species
AACGUAGGUGGCAAGCGUUAUCCGGAUUUAUUGGGCGUAAAGAGCUCGUAGGCGGCUUAGCAAGUCGGGUGUGAAAACUCCAGGCUCAACCUGGAGACGCCACUCGAGACUGCUAUGGCUAGAGUCCGGUAGGGGACCACGGAAUUCCUGGUGUAGCGGUGAAAUGCGCAGAUAUCAGGAGGAACACCGGUGGCGAAGGCGGUGGUCUGGGCCGGCACUGACGCUGAGGAGCGAAAGCGUGGGGAGCAAACAGG